rnacentral:rRNA from 1 species
GAUGAACGCUAGCGGCAGGCUUAACACAUGCAAGUCGUGGGGCAGCGCGGACUUCGGUCUGGCGGCGACCGGCAAACGGGUGCGGAACACGUACGCAACCUCCCUCAGAGCGGGGAAUAGCCUCUCGAAAGAGAGAUUAAUACCCCAUAGUAUCUUGAAGACACAUGUCUAUGAGAUUAAAGCUUCGGCACUUUGAGAUGGGCGUGCGGCUGAUUAGGUAGUUGGUAGGGUAACGGCCUACCAAGCCGACGAUCAGUAGCUGAUGUGAGAGCAUGAUCAGCCACACGGGCACUGAGACACGGGCCCGAUCCUACGGGAGGCAGCAGUGAGGAAUAUUGGUCAAUGGAGGAAACUCUGAACCAGCCAUGCCGCGUGGAGGAUGAAGGUCCUCU